GCCGUAAAUUUUGCUAUUUCUUUACUUAUUGGAAAAUCAGGGAAACCUCACACGAUUGCAGAAGACUUAAUAUUACCUGCUGCGAAAGCUACGGUUUCUGUAAUGAUCGGCAAAGAAGCUGCAAAUAGCCCAAAUAAAAUUACAUUAUCAAAUGAUACAAUAAAAAAAAACAAAUUUAUGGUUUAUCAGGAAAUAUUAAAGAACAGUUGUUGAGGCAAGUCCUUGAAAAUUUUUUGACUGCAUGUUCAAAAAGGUUAUUCAGAAUUAUCGAGUAAAGCUCUAAGUUUUUAUUCCCCACAACUUAUUUAUAUGAAGAAGCCUUCUCCCCCCUUGUUUAUAUUGAAAAUAAGUUUGAAAACCAAAUAGAAAACAUAGAAUCUGAACUAUGAUUGAAAC